rnacentral:rRNA from 1 species
UACGUAGGUGGCAAGCGUUGUCCGGAUUUACUGGGCGUAAAGCGCGUGUAGGCGGCUUUGCAAGUCGGGUGUGAAAGCCCUCGGCUCAACCGAGGAAGUGCGCCCGAAACUGCAGAGCUUGAGUACCGGAGAGGGUGGCGGAAUUCCCCAAGUAGAGGUGAAAUUCGUAAGAUAUGGGGAGGAACACCGGUGGCGAAGGCGGCCACCUGGACGGAUACUGACGCUGAGACGCGAAAGCGUGGGUAGCAAACAGG